GUUUUAUAAAGGGUAACUGGCAGCAGUUUGGGAGUUUAUUCAACACAACAUCAUCAACUCAGGAACAGCAAGUGUUGGAGAAAGGAUUCAUGAUUUCUCUGCAAAAAGAUGAGACGGACAAAUUUGAGAUUUACAAAAAAACUCACUGCAGUAUAUAUGCAGCAUCACAUGGUAAUCAGCGUGGACUUGUUGUUUGUAACUUACCCUAUGGUAUACUGAUUUGUGCAUAUGCCCUUCCACUUAACGCUAGUACAGCUAUCAAACACGUUGAGCAGUUCUGUGAUCUAUUAAGAACAUAAUGCAUCUUGUAACUUGAUUAUCCAAACUUCAAGACAACAGAAAGAUUGCAAGGAACUUUCAUAGUCAAAUGUGUGACUGGAGCAUACCACAUACAGUACCUCUACUUUCAUAUUACUGAGGUACAUUGGUGAAUACAUAAUGAAAUAUUGUGAUGGUAUUAAGUACAGGUGUGCAUGUACACUAUUGUAAGGAAUAUGCUGUUAUACAAGAAAGAAAGAAAAAUGUUACUCUAUUAUUAAACUCAUGAUUGAGUCAUUAAUAUUCAGUGUUCUCCACAAUCCAAAAUAGGUCAUAGGUGUUCUAAUUUGCAUAAAUAUGCAUAUUAAUUUGAAUACUGUUGACAUACAUUCCAAUUAUUUUACAUUAUAUGUUUACAUAUUACAUUUACAAUCUUUUGAAAUAAUAACAAAGGAAUAACAUAAUUUGCAGUCUUGGAAAUCAGUAUUCAACAUAAUACUCCUGCAAGGUUAGUGAUUACGUUCUCAAAAGAAUUUGGGAUAAAAUGCAGCAUGCAUAGAAACCAAUGAAUUUUCAUGAAAAAUAAUAACAAAUAUGAUGAGCCAAAAAAGGAUAAUUUUGUCAAAAUAAAAGUAACCAUAUUUUA